UUUUCUUCCGUUGCUUUUUCCUUUCGCCUGCUCUCUGUUUUUCUGCUUUUCUCCCUAUUCGAUCUUCGUGUUUCCUUGCUUCUCUGUUUGUGUUCAUCGUCUGCCGUUUGAAAAGGUGGUUUUUCUGGCUGAUUGCGGUGUUUCAGGUGAUAUACUGCUCUAUCAAUUUUAGGGUUUCUCUGUGCAAUCUUGGAAGCCCUUUUCGAUUAAGGUGAAAUACUGAUCUAUCAAUUUUAGGGUUUCUCUGUGCAAUCUUGGAAACCCUUUUCGAUUAAGGUAUUAAUUUUGGUUUGAAAAAAAAAAAAAUCUUUGCUGCAUCUCAGUUCCUAUUGUAAUUUUAACUGCCAAGUUAGCUUUCAGCUGUCAAGUUUACAGACAAUUGAUUGUGUUUUUUCCACUCAGCGUGGAUAAGACAAGUAAAAAGUGACACUCCCAUUGAAAACUUAUAUGCAAAAUAAAUUUUGAUCUGUGGUUGCAUGGUGCAUUGCUGCAUAGUUUCACAACUGAACUAUAAGAAAUUGACUAUCGUGUUUUCUAAAAUUUCAACUGAGUUGUUAAAGAAUAUGCGGACUUGGGAGAUAAAAGUUAUAAGUGUGUUCAUUGUGGUGCUUAUUUUUGGCUAAAAGAGUCUCUUAAACCAAAGUGUAAAAAGGAUCUACCUGUUUUCACUCUUUGUUGCCAACAAGGAAAAAUUAAGUUUC
rnacentral:sRNA from 1 species